rnacentral:lncRNA from 1 species
CUCAGAAGCAGCAAGACCUAUUUGCCUCACUCUUUGCCCAGGGAUGACUGGUUAAGAAAUUUGUUCCAGUUAAUGUAACAAGCAGCUUCCAGGAGAACAGAAGUCCCUGUGCUCAGUGUCAGGCUCUGACCACAGAACCCGGCCUCUCUCUCCAUACUUGCCUCCAAAGGCCUUUGGGCUCUGAGCCUUUCGGUGAUGAGGUGUUCGCAAGCUGAGGGAAGGAGGGUAGAUGCCUGGGAGAGCCUGCUUAUUCUACAACCUCCGUCCCUUUAAUCCAAACAACUUUAUCCAAAGAAUGCUGCCGCCUGGGCCAGACCUGCACCCCAAAACUAGUGUCUUUGGAUCUCCACUGGACUUCUUCCUAAGUUCACAUCAUCUCAAGGGUUACUUUCCAUAACCCAGAAAGGAUAUUAUCAUUUCCAUCAAACAGAUGAGGAGAAACGGCUUCCAAGAUGUUAUCCACAAUCACACAAGAUGGAAGGGAUGGAACGGAAUGUAAACCCAGCGUUCUCACAUCCACAGAGUGGAUAUGGGCGAGGAUUGCAUACACCACGGUCAUUUCCUGAAUCUAUAUAUAGCAGGUUUGCUGGAGCAGAUGAAAAGAAAGCCUAAAGUUCUAUGCACUUCUGGAUUUUUAUUAUCAUGAUCAUCAUAAUAAAUAGUGGAAGUGAAUACAAAAAUAGUUGCUGUUAGCACAGAUAGCCUUAACUUUGUUGUAUUACCAUCUCAGUAAAAAACUCUAAAAAGAUUUCCUCCUAACAACUUCCUGUUCCAAAGUAAGCAGCUGACGUAUAUAAACAGUAGUAACUAAUAUUCAGUGACUUACUGUACACAAAACCUUAUACAGGAAUCUCUCCUU